CAGUCGCCGCGGUAAUACGAGGGGGGCAAGCGUUGUUCGGAAUUAUUGGGCGUAAAGGGCGCGUAGGCGGUUUGGCAAGUUUGGUGUGAAAUCUUCGGGCUCAACUCGAAGUCUGCAUCGAAAACUGCCGGGCUUGAGUAUGGGAGAGGUGAGUGGAAUUUCCGGUGUAGCGGUGAAAUGCGUAGAUAUCGGAAGGAACACCUGUGGCGAAAGCGGCUCACUGGACCAUUACUGACGCUGAGGCGCGAAAGCUAGGGGAGCAAACAGGAUUAGAGACCCCUGUAGUCCCUGUCUCUUAUAC
rnacentral:rRNA from 1 species